GAGGGGCCCGCGCCCGAUUAGCUAGUUGGUGAGGUAAUGGCUCACCAAGGCAUUGAUCGGUAGCUGGUCUGAGAGGAUGAUCAGCCACACUGGAACUGAGACACGGUCCAGACUCCUACGGGAGGCAGCAGUGGGGAAUCUUGCACAAUGGGCGAAAGCCUGAUGCAGCGACGCCGCGUGGGGGAUGAAGCAUUUCGGUGUGUAAACCCCUUUCGAUCCGGACGAAACCCCGCAAGGGAUUGACGGUACGGAUAUAAGAAGCCCCGGCUAACUACGUGCCAGCAGCCGCGGUAAGACGUAGGGGGCCAGCGUUGUUCGGAAUUACUGGGUGUAAAGGGUUCGUAGGCGGUGUAGCAAGUCGGGAGUGAAAUCUUUGGGCUUAACCCAGAGGCUGCUUCCGAAACUGCUGUGCUUGAGUGUGGGAGAGGCGCGUGGAAUUGCAGGUGUAGCGGUGAAAUGCGUAGAUAUCUGCAGG
rnacentral:rRNA from 1 species